rnacentral:rRNA from 1 species
UACGAAGGGGGCUAGCGUUGCUCGGAAUUACUGGGCAUAAAGCGUGUGCAGGCGGGCUAGCAAGUGGUGUAUGAAAGCUCCCGGCUCAACCGGGAAGGGUUAUGCCAGACUGCUAGUCUUGAGUGCGAGAGAGGAGCGUGGAAUUCCGGGUGUAGUGGUGAAAUGCGUAGAGAUCCGGAGGAACCCCAGAGGCGAAGGCGGCGCUCUGGCUCGCAACUGACGCUCAGACACGGACAGCAUGGGGGAGCGAACGGGG